CAAGAGCGUAUGUAAAAGUUGUUGCAGUUAAAAAGCUCGUAGUUGAACCUUGGGUCUGGUUGGCCGGUCCGCUUUUUUGCGAGUACUGGAUUCAACCGAGCCUUUCCUUCUGGCUAACCAGUCGUUUCGGCGGCUGGCGAACCAGGAUUUUUACUUUGAGAAAAUUAGAGUGUUCAAAGCAGGCAUUAGCUUGAAUAUAUUAGCAUGGAAUAAUAGAAUAGGACGUUAUGGUUCUAUUUUGUUGGUUUCUAGGACCAUCGUAAUGAUUAAUAGGGACGGUCGGGGGCAUCAGUAUUCAGUUGUCAGAGGUGAAAUUCUUGGAUUUACUGAAGACUAACUACUGCGAAAGCAUUUGCCAAGGACGUUUUCAUUAA
rnacentral:rRNA from 1 species